AUACGGAGGGGGUUAGCGUUGUUCGGAAUUACUGGGCGUAAAGCGUACGUAGGCGGAUUGGAAAGUAUGGGGUGAAAUCCCAGGGCUCAACCCUGGAACUGCCUCAUAAACUCCCAGUCUAGAGUUCGAGAGAGGUGAGUGGAAUUCCGAGUGUAGAGGUGAAAUUCGUAGAUAUUCGGAGGAACACCAGUGGCGAAGGCGGCUCACUGGCUCGAUACUGACGCUGAGGUACGAAAGCGUGGGGAGCAAACAGGAUUAGAAACCCUAGUAGUCC
rnacentral:rRNA from 1 species